CCUACGGGUGGCAGCAGUCGAGAAUCAUUCACAAUGGGGGAAACCCUGAUGGUGCGACGCCGCGUGGGGGAAUGAAGGUCUUCGGAUUGUAAACCCCUGUCAUGUGGGAGCAAAUUAAAAAGAUAGUACCACAAGAGGAAGAGACGGCUAACUCUGUGCCAGCAGCCGCGGUAAUACAGAGGUCUCAAGCGUUGUUCGGAAUCACUGGGCGUAAAGCGUGCGUAGGCUGUUUCGUAAGUCGUGUGUGAAAGGUGCGGGCUCAACCCGCGGACGGCACAUGAUACUGCGAGACUAGAGUAAUGGAGGGGGAACCGGAAGUCUCGGUGUAGCAGUGAAAUGCGUAGAUAUCGAGAGGAACACUCGUGGCGAAGGCGGGUUCCUGGACAUUAACUGACGCUGAGGCACGAAGGCCAGGGGAGCGAAAGGGAUUAGAUACCCCUGUAGUC
rnacentral:rRNA from 1 species